rnacentral:rRNA from 1 species
GCAUCGAUGAAGAACGCAGCGAAAUGCGAUAAGUAAUGUGAAUUGCAGAAUUCAGUGAAUCAUCGAAUCUUUGAACGCACAUUGCGCCCCUUGGUAUUCCGAGGGGCAUGCCUGUUCGAGCGUCAUUAUAACCACUCAAGCCUCGGCUUGGUCUUGGGGUUCGCGGUCUCGCGGCCCUUAAAAUCAGUGGCGGUACCGUCUGGCUCUAAGCGUAGUAAUUCUCUCGCUAUAGGGUCUAGGCGACCACCUGCCAUAACCCCCCAUUCUUUACGGUUGACCUCGGAUCAGGUAGGGAUACCCGCUGAACUUAAGCAUAUCAAUAAGCGGAGGA